rnacentral:rRNA from 1 species
AUGGCUACACAUCAUCUCAAAGUUAGAUACUUAGAUUGCUUAACUCCUAGGAGACAUAUUACAGAAGGAAACCCCUCUUCUGAUUGGCCACGUGCAGCUCCAUAUUUGAAUUAUUUAUCAUUGCUUCAAAAUUGUACAAUAGUGCAGAAAAAAACAGAGGGGGAAACCAAUGAUUCUAAAGCUUGGUUUAUACAUUUUGGAAAAGUAUGGAUUGGACAUGCUUAUUUACAUGUUUACAUGUCUUUAUUUUCUCUUCUUCGUAUGCUUUCUUCUGUUUUUUUAACUCCCAUGUGUAUAUAUAGAACUAUCAUUUACUUCAUUCAUAUUUCCAGUUGUUGUGGCAGACAUGAAGAUAAUGGCAGGUAUUGUCACCGCGGUCGUUUCUGUCCGCCACAGUUGCAACAGGAUUGA